rfam:Triticum aestivum genome assembly, contig: Triticum_aestivum_CS42_TGACv1_scaffold_223487_3B
GAACCGAAAGGGGCCCGGUCCGCCGGCCCCAUAGGUGUUCGUGGAUCAGCUUCCCCGACAUCAAGCUGAUCCACGAACACCUAUGGGGCGGGCGGACUGGGCCCCUUUCGGUUCGGCG